rnacentral:rRNA from 1 species
UACAGAGGAUGCAAGCGUUAUCCGGAAUGGUUGGGCGUAAAGCGUCUGUAGGUGGCUUUUUAAGUCCGCCGUCAAAUCCCAGGGCUCAACUCUGGACAGGCGGUGGAAACUACCAAGCUGGAGUACGGUAGGGGCAGAGGGAAUUUCCGGUGGAGCGGUGAAAUGCGUAGAUAUCGCUUGGAACGCCGACGGUGAAAACAGCUCGCUGGGGGUCACCUGACGCUGAGACACGAAAGCCAGGGGAGCGAACGGG